rnacentral:miRNA from 1 species
UGACAGAAGAGAGUAAGCACGAGUAUGGGGUCCAUCUCAAGAGGGUCAUGAAAGGUGACAUGGUCCUCAGACCACAGCUACAUCACAGUAAAACAUAUCU